UACGAAGGGGGCUAGCGUUAAUCGGAAUUACUGGGCGUAAAGCGUGCGCAGGCGGUUAUGUAAGACAGGUGUGAAAUCCCCGGGCUUAACCUGGGAACUGCAUUUGUGACUGCAUAGCUAGAGUACGGUAGAGGGGGAUGGAAUUCCGCGUGUAGCAGUGAAAUGCGUAGAUAUGCGGAGGAACACCGAUGGCGAAGGCAAUCCCCUGGACCUGUACUGACGCUCAUGCACGAAAGCGUGGGGAGCAAACAGG
rnacentral:rRNA from 1 species